rnacentral:rRNA from 1 species
GAUGAACGCUGGCGGCGUGCCUAAUACAUGCAAGUCGAGCGAACAGACGAGGAGCUUGCUCCUCUGACGUUAGCGGCGGACGGGUGAGUAACACGUGGAUAACCUACCUAUAAGACUGGGAUAACUUCGGGAAACCGGAGCUAAUACCGGAUAAUAUAUUGAACCGCAUGGUUCAAUAGUGAAAGACGGUUUUGCUGUCACUUAUAGAUGGAUCCGCGCCGCAUUAGCUAGUUGGUAAGGUAAUGGCUUACCAAGGCAACGAUGCGUAGCCGACCUGAGAGGGUGAUCGGCCACACUGGAACUGAGACACGGUCCAGACUCCUACGGGAGGCAGCAGUAGGGAAUCCUCCGCAAUGGGCGAAAGCCUGACGGAGCAACGCCGCGUGAGUGAUGAAGGUCUUCGGAUCGUAAAACUCUGUUAUUAGGGAAGAACAAAUGUGUAAGUAACUAUGCACGUCUUGACGGUACCUAAUCAGAAAGCCACGGCUAACUACGUG